rnacentral:misc_RNA from 1 species
GAUGAAGACGUAGCGAAAUGCGAUAAGUAAUGUGAAUUGCAGAAUUCAGUGAAUCAUCGAAUCUUUGAACGCACAUUGCGCCCCUUGGUAUUCCGAGGGGCAUGCCUGUUCGAGCGUCAUAUUAACCACUCCCGCUUGCGGGGUCUUGGGCUUCGCCUCCGGGCGGGCCUUAAAAUCAGUGGCGGUGCCAUCGGGCUCUACGCGUAGUAAAUUUUCUCGCGAUAGGGUCCCGGUGGAUGCUUGCCAACAACCCCCAACUUCUUAAGGUUGACCUCGGAUCAGGUAGGGAUACCCGCUGAACUUAAGCAUAUCAAUAAGCGGAGGA